rnacentral:rRNA from 1 species
GAGGACCGAAGGCGAUCAGAUACCGCCCUAGUUCUAACCAUAAACGAUGCCAGCCAGCGAUCCGGCUGUGUUCCUCAAAUGACACGCCGGGCAGCUUCCGGGAAACCACAAGCGUUUGGGUUCCGGGGGAAGUAUGGUUGCAAAACUUAAACUUAAAGGAAUUGACGGAGGGGCACUACCAGGCUUGGAUAUUGCGGUUCAAUUUGACUCAACGCAGCAAAUCCUACCAGUCCAGGACACAGGAAGGAUUGACAGAUUGAGAGCUCUUUCUUGAUUCUGUGGGUGGUGGUGCAUGGCCGUUCCUGGUUCGUGGAGCGAUUUGUCUUGUUUAUUCUGAUAACGGACGAGAUUCUAGCCUACUAAAUAGACGCUUCGAUCCUUCGAGUCGAGCGUUCUUCUUAGAGGGACAGGCGUUGUUUAGACGCACGAGGAAGAGCAAUAACAGGUCUGUAAUGCCCUUAGAUGUCCUGGGCCACACGCGUUCUACAUUGAAGAAAUCAACGUGUGCUUUCCCUGUCCGAAGGGACUGGGUAACCCGUUGAACCUUCUUCGUGCUGGGGAUAGGCGCUUGUAAUUAUCCGCCUUGAACGAGGAAAUCCUAGUAAGCGCGAGUCAUCAUCUCGGGUUGACUAAGUCCCUGCCCCUUGUCCACACCGCCCGUCGCUAUUACCGAUUGAAUGAUUUAGUGAGGUCUUCGGGACUGGCACUCGUAUUGGCUUUCGGGUCGACUCGGAUUUGCCGGAAAGAUGACCGAACUUGACCAUUUAGAGGAAAUA